rnacentral:lncRNA from 1 species
CAUAAUUCCUUUCUUCUUCCUCUCUCUAGCCGCUGCCACUCCGUCGUCGCUAGAAAUUGCCCACCGGCGGCGGACCACCUCCAAACACCCCUAAAUUCAAACUAUGUAAUCUCCACAACCUCCUCUUUCCAUAUCUCCAAACCAAAUCCUUCAAAAACCUCUCAAACUCCUUGAAUCUUAGAUCUAAGAAAAUUUUAGCUGCCAUUGUUUUGCCCAAAUUCUUGAAGCUCCGGCCACUACCACCCCACAAUACCUACAUCAGUGAAUAAAGCUCCUCAAGACCUACCUAUUAAUGUCAAUUCCACCCUGAAAAUGCGGCGACCAAAAAUCCGGCCAAAUUCCGGCGACCUUCCCGAAUGCCCUCGUUUGGCAUAUCACCAUUGUUUUGGCCACUUGAAUUGUGAAAUGGUAAAAAUACUAUUCUUGUUUUUCAUGGCUGAUUUUUUAUUUUAUUUUUAUUUUUUCAGAUUUUAUUUUGUCUCUUAUUAAUUAUUUUAACAUUAGCUUUUGAAGUUUGAAAUGCAAAUUUUUAUGCUUUUGCACUUGUUGAAGUAGUAUAAUAGUUUUGUAUUGAUAAAAGUGAGGUAGUGAAGGAAUACUUGACAGUAUAGGGUACUUGUUUGGUUUCUUAUUUACUGCUUCAGAGAUUUUUUGAGUAUAAAACUCAAAAGUCAUUUAUUUGGUAAGAAAAUAUGGACUUUUGGACAGUUUUUAAACAAAAGUCUAUCUUUGAAUAGUGAAGAGCAGAUUUUAGUUGACAUACUAUCUUUUGGACAAGAUUGAACAAAAUUGUCUUGCCUUUUGAAUUUAAGUGCAGAUUUUGUGGAAAACUCUGUAAAAAAAAAUGAUUUUUAAUCAUGAAAUAGUUGGCUGUUUCUCAUAUAUAAAACAUACAUCUUCAUAGCAGUAGAGAUCUGGACACACUAAAAAAAAGGGAGAGAAAAAUCAACAGCUAAGGCAUUCUUUAGUAGCUAAAAAUUGUGAGUUUUUGUGAAGUGCAAAACAUUUUUUUAGAAAAAGAUAGUAGUCUUGAAAGCUUCUUCUGGAGUUACAUAAUUGCUGGUUUCAAUUGUUUUACUGGGUAUUUCUGGUUCAUUUGCUUGGGUUUGAAAUAUGCUGGUUGUCGUUGUCUUUUGCUGUGUUGCUGCCCGUUUAACUAUUUUGCUGUCCGCUUCUUGAUUUUGGAAAGAGCUGACUUUGUUGUAUUUGUUCUUCUUUUUUCUGUCCAGGUAAUUUUUGGACCAUGUAUGCUCCUAAAAUCGAGUUAGAAUGAAAGAUAAUAAUGAUGGAAAAUAUUAGUAGCUUCAUCCUUCUAUUGUAAUUCAUUUUUAUAUGCUCUUGAAUGUUGGAUAAUGUUAUGACUAUAUGGUAGAUAAUUAAACUGUGUCAAGCAUCUUUAUUUUAUUUUUUUGCUAAAGCGUUAAAUAUAAUUCCACUGGGCCCUCAGUUGCUUGGUUGUAUGAAAGGAG